rnacentral:rRNA from 1 species
GACGAACGCUGGCGGCGUGCUUAACACAUGCAAGUCGAACGGAAAGGCCUGCUUUCCCUUGUGGAUUGCGGGUACUCGAGUGGCGAACGGGUGAGUAACACGUGAGUGAUCUGCCCCCAACUUGGGUAUAAGCCUGGGAAACUGGGUCUAAUUCCCGAUAGGACUGCAGGGUGGUGCCUGUGGUGGAAAACGAUUUUCUAGUGGUUGGGGAUGAGCUCGCGGCCUAUCAGCUUGUUGGUGGGGUAAUGGCCUACCAAGGCGGCGACGGGUAGCCGGCCUGAGAGGGUGGACGGCCACAUUGGGACUGAGAUACGGCCCAGACUCCUACGGGAGGCAGCAGUGGGGAAUAUUGCACAAUGGGCGGAAGCCUGAUGCAGCGACGCCGCGUGGGGGAUGACGGCCUUCGGGUUGUAAACUCCUUUCGACCGCGAGGAAGCCACCUGGUUGGAAGGGUGGUGACGGUAGUGGUAGAAGGAGCACCGGCUAACUACGUG